UAGGUGCAGCAUACGUAGGAGUCCGCCAUGACUGAGUCCGUCCGUACGGCAUUGCUUCCGGAACCGAGGCGGCCCAUACGGGGCAGGUAGUGCUUACUGAGGCAGCCCGCGGGCUGCAGUGGCAUAUACUGAAGCAGGGAAUAUGGUUUAGGCCGCCGUCCGUGUACCUUGGAGUCCGCUAUGAGUGCGGCCUUCCGUCCGGUGGCGGCCGCCAUGAGUGAGGCAGGCCGGGCCGGAAGCCGCCAUUGCUGAGGCCGGAAGUCCGUACAGCUUGGGUGUCAAGUACCGCGAGACCGGGCGACGUCGCGAGAGUGCGCGGCUACGUAGGUGCAGCAUGCAUUAAAGUCCGCCAUGACUGAGUCCGUCCGUACGGCAUUGCUUCCGGAACCGAGGCGGCCCGUACGGGGCAGGUGGCGCUUACUGAGGCAGCCCGCAGGCUGCACCGGCGUAUACUGAAGCAGCGAGUAUGGUUUAUGCCGCCGUCUGUGUACCCUGGAGUCCGCAGGAAGUUGAAAAUGAAUGGUGAAAACAUCUCCUCUGUAAAGAAUUAAGCAAAACAUACAGACGAAAAAAGUACAAACAAGGAAAAGAGUUGGAGGGUGUGAAAAAGCACCAUAUGCACCAAGAAAGGCACCAUGAUGAGCAGAGCAUUCAACUCUGCUGAUGUUUUUCCAUGUGAUGUGUGUAUAAGAUAAAAAUGAAAUGUUCGAGUGUCCCUCAGCUGCCAGGUUCCUGACACAACAGGACGAGGCCACUUUAUCAGGGUCCUUGAAGAGUCUCCCCGGCCACCAUGUCAGGGGAGAGGUUCUCGGGGGCGAGGCCGGGAGGAGCAGGGGCAAGUGAGGUGUGAAGGAGGCGGGAAAUGGAUAGAGGGUCCUGCAGGUGUUCCCGUCUACUGCGUGGUGUCACUGCUCCCAGAGUCCCCCCCCACUGAGAAGAUGGGAGCAGACUGAGCUGGUGUAGGUGACCGAGGGACACACAAACCUAGGGACACACAGACUGAGGGCCAGACACACCACGGAAGCCGCAGUGGCCAGGAGAGGUGAAGAAUGAAGGGCACGGAGACAGCGUUGAGCUGAUCAGCAUCAUCAGGUUCUGCGUUUAUUGCGCGGUUACAAGUGUGUUUAUAGUCUUUGAGUCUAUAAGCAUGCGUCCAUCGUUCCAUCACGGCUGCAGCAGGCUCUCCACAGACAAGCUUGUGACUCAUCCGAUCACACCGGAGACUGAGAGGAGGAGUGGAGAGACAGAGAGAAGGAGGGGAGUCGGAGAUUGCGGCGCCCAUUCCACACAUGUGCACUGUGGGCCCUGGACGAGAGUCGGCUGCUAAGCAACAGGCAGCGGCGGCAAAAACACCCAUCGGGCCGGAUAAAUGUUUUCGUCUGGCUGCAUGUGGCCCGUGGGCCGUCGUUUGAGGACCCCUGUUUUAAUGUAUAACUUAGCUCAGAUGAUGUCCUAGGCAUGCCUGUUCAUCAUUGUCACUUGCUGAACUCCCCAAUAAAAGCCAUGAGAAUUUUGGAGGUUUUGCUACUUGCAAGAGCGAGCAGUAGCCCUCUGCUUCUCUAAAAGUGAA